rnacentral:rRNA from 1 species
ACGGGAGGCAGCAGUGGGGAAUAUUGCACAAUGGGGGAAACCCUGAUGCAGCGAUGCCGCGUGGAGGAAGAAGGUUUUCGGAUUGUAAACUCCUGUCUUAAGGGACGAUAAUGACGGUACCUUAGGAGGAAGCUCCGGCUAACUACGUGCCAGCAGCCGCGGUAAUACGUAGGGAGCGAGCGUUGUCCGGAAUUACUGGGUGUAAAGGGAGCGUAGGCGGAAUGGCAAGUCAGAUGUGAAAACUAUGGGCUCAACCCAUAGACUGCAUUUGAAACUGUUGUUCUUGAGUGAAGUAGAGGUAAGCGGAAUUCCCAGUGUAGCGGUGAAAUGCGUAGAUAUUGGGAGGAACACCGGUGGCGAAGGCGGUUUACUGGACGACAACUGACGCUGAGACACGAAAGUGCGGGGAGCAAACAGGAUUAGAUACCCUGGUA